rnacentral:lncRNA from 1 species
GGCUCCUCCUUCCCCGGCUCCUCCUCCACUCAGACCCAGGCCUGGGCCCUGCUCGCUAAAGCGUGAAGGAGGCCCCCCAGGGAAGCCGCAGGCGCAGGGGCUUUAAAUUAUAGAGCAGCUUUCUUAGCCCCUCUCAGAAAGGCCCAGGCACCUUCGCUAAAUAAUUCACGACCUCAGGAAGACCCACUGGUUCUUGACACAGAUGAAGUAGGUCAGCCCUCGGCUUGGCCCUGGGUGGGGGCCAUAGGACACAGAGCAGCUUUCCCACCAGCACAGGCAGGGGCUGAAGGCUGGGCGGCCUUGCCAGCUGGUCCGAUACUGCAGCGAGGCAAGGGGCACAGCGCGGGAGACGAGUAACCCCGGACUCCUCUGGGCACGAACACAGCCACCCUCUGAGGUCCAGGUAACUCGCCCACAGACACCCAGGGUUACCUGCAGGGCCUGGUCCUGGCCAGGCUCCUCCUCCUCCUCCCUCAGAGCACCUGGGUCGCCAGCUGACGCAUUCACCAGCACUGACAUCUUAGACCCAAGCCGACCUGUGCAGGACUGGGAUUCAGGAGACGGGGUAAGGCGGGGAGCGGUGACCUGAGGUGCAAGUGAGGAAGUGACCAGAGCCAGCCACAGCCACUUUAGUUUUGCUUAGAGCAAGGCUGGAGCAACACCUAUUGGGAGGGGGGUUCCGGGGCCUCUGCUGUCCUCCCUUUCCAGGCACGGCUUUGGGUCUGAGGUGCGGUGCGGUGCAGAGCAGCUCUCCCAGGAGUGGAUGAAAAAACAAACAGUUAAACCCUGAGUUCAGCACACCAGCCCUCCAGUAAGAGUCUGAAAGGAUUUCAAGCAACCUCUUCACAGACAAGGAACCCGAGACCCCAAGUCACAAAAGGAUCAGCAAUGACAACAGCCGCCUCAUCUCCCAAGUCUGAAAUGGCCAGACGGUCA